UACAGAGGUCUCAAGCGUUGUUCGGAUUCAUUGGGCGUAAAGGGCGCGUAGGCGGCGCGGUAAGUCGGGUGUGAAAUCUCGGAGCUUAACUCCGAAACUGCAUUCGAUACUGCCGUGCUUGAGGACUGGAGAGGAGACUGGAAUUUACGGUGUAGCGGUGAAAUGCGUAGAUAUCGUAAGGAAGACCAGUGGCGAAGGCGGGUCUCUGGACAGUUCCUGACGCUGAGACGCGAAAGCGUGGGGAGCAAACAGG
rnacentral:rRNA from 1 species